rnacentral:RNase_P_RNA from 1 species
CGAGUGAACUAAGCGGUCGCUUGCUUUUCUAGCAAGAGGAAAGUCCGAACUCCAGAGGGUAUAGUGCUGGGUAACACCCAGGUGUCGUGAGACAACGGAAAGUGCCACAGAAAAUAAACCGCCCAAGUUUUCUCGCACGGGAAAACAGGCAAGGGUGAAAAGGUAGUGUAAGAGACUACCGCGCAGGCUGGUGACAUCCUGCGGCACGGUAAACCCCACUUGGAGAAAGACCAAAUAAGGAAGCAUUCGUGGUCAAUAAUGUAUAAUGGGCCACGGGCAGGUUACCCGCCUGAAGCUUCCGGGUGGGUUGCUCGAGGCAUCCAGAAAUGGGUGUCCUAGAUGAAUGACCGCUCUAGACAGAAUUCGGCUUACCGGUUUACUCGUCUC